rnacentral:lncRNA from 1 species
UGACUCCGCUCGGCGUUGGGAACUUGAGACCCAGGUGGUAGGUUGACGGAACUGCCUGCAUGGCGUUGAGCCAUGGGGUUCCCAUGAUCACGUUGUAGAUAGCGGGAUGAUCGACUACCGCGAAUUUGAUGAUUUUCAUGAUCUCCUUGGCCAUGACUGGCAAUUGGAUUGAUCCGAGAGUCAUCGACAAUUCGCCUGAAAAACCCGUGAGCGGUUUUGGCGUCGAAAUUACUUCUCCGAGUUCGAUACUCUGCGACGAUUGUUAUCGUU